rnacentral:rRNA from 1 species
AUUGAACGCUGGCGGCAGGCCUAACACAUGCAAGUCGAGCGAGCGGCGGACGGGUGAGUAAUGUAUGGGGACUGCCCGAUAGAGGGGGAUAACUACUGGAAACGGUAGCUAAUACCGCAUACUAUCGGAUAACCCAUAUGGGAUUAGCUAGUGGGUGGGGUAAUGGCUCACCUAGGCGACGAUCCCUAGCUGGUCUGAGAGGAUGAUCAGCCACACUGUGACUGAGACACGGCCCAGACUCCUAGGGAGGCAGAAGUGUGGAAUAUUGCACAAUGGGCGCAAGACUGAUGCAGCCAUGCCGCGUGUAUGAAGAAGGCCCGAGGGUUGUAAGGUACUUUCAGUCGGGAGGAGUUAACGAGAAGAGAAGCACGUGCUAACUCCGUGCCAGCAGCCGCGGUAAUUC